CAGUGAGUGGAUCGGUUACAGAAAGAAAUGUUAUUUCAUCUCAGAGGAGGAGAAAAACUGGACAUCUAGUCAGACCUUCUGUGCUAAGAAUGGAUCUUUGCUUGCUGUUUCUGAAAACCAGAAAGAAAUGCUAAGCGCUUGAAAAUGGAAGUUUCUUGGAUUGGAUUACGGAAGAAAGGGGAAAGCUUCUACUGGGAGAAUGGCAUUGCCUUGAAGAUGGACUUAACCUCAGGACCAGCAAGUAUUAAGGCAGAAUGAACCUUUGCCUGACACCCCCUAUCACCAAGAUGCAUAGACUGGACUUCACAAGAGAAAAGGAAAUGAUACAGCUUUAUAUAUAUGCAUGUAAACUGCUUUGAAGUUUUCUUUCUGCUGAAAUAAAAUAGGAUGUGCAAAAUAUCUUUAAGAAACA
rnacentral:lncRNA from 1 species